rnacentral:rRNA from 1 species
CAGGAACGAGCUCGCGGCCUAUCAGCUUCGUUCGGUGGGGUAAAAGGCCUACCAAGGCGUCGACGGGUAGCCGGCCUGAGAGGGUCGGAACGGCCACAUUGGGACUGAGAUACGGCCCAGAACUCCUACGGGAGGCAGCAGUGGGGAAAUAUUGCACAAUGGGCGCAAGCCUGAAGCAGCGACGCCGCGUGGGGGAAGACCGGCCUUCGGGUUUGUAAACUCCUUUUCGUUAGGGACGAAAGCCGCACUUUUUUUUGGGUUGUGGUGACGGUACCUUUUGUUAAGAAGCACCGGCUAACUACGUGCCAGCAGCCGCGGUAAUACGUAGGGUGCGAGCGUUGUCCGGAAUUACUGGGCGUAAAGAGCUCGUAGGUGGUUUGUUGCGUCGUCUGUGAAAUUCCGGGGCUUAACUUCGGGGUGGCAGGCGAUACGGGCAUAACUAGAGUGCUGUAGGGGAGACUGGAAUUCCUGGUGUAGCGGUGGAAUGCGCAGAUAUCAGGAGGAACACCGAUGGCGAAGGCAGGUCUCUGGGCAGUAACUGACGCUGAGGAGCGAAAGCAUGGGGAGCGAACAGGAUUAGAUACCCUGGUAGUCCAUGCUGUAAACGGUGGGCGUUAGGUGUGGGGACCGGUUUGGUUUCUGUGCCGUAGCUAACGCAUUAAGCGCCCCGCCUGGGGAGUACGGCCGCAAGGCUAAAACUCAAAGGAAUUGACGGGGGCCCGCACAAGCGGCGGAGCAUGUGGAUUAAUUCGAUGCAACGCGAAGAACCUUACCUGGGUUUGACAUGCACCAGACGGUUGUAGAGAUACGUACCUCCCUUUGUGGUUGGUGUGCAGGUGGUGCAUGGUUGUCGCCAGCUCGUGUCGUGAGAUGUUGGGUUAAGUCCCGCAACGAGCGCAACCCUUGUCUUAUGUUGCCAGCACGUUUGGGUGGGGACUCAUGAGAGACUGCCGGGGUUAACUCGGAGGAAGGUGGGGAUGACGUCAAAUCAUCAUGCCCUUUAUGCCCAGGGCUUCACACAUGCUACAAUGGUUAGUACAACGCGCAGCAAACCUGUGAGGGUGAGCGAAUCGCUGAAAGCUAAUCUCAGUUCGGAUUGGGGUCUGCAACUCGACCCCAUGAAGUCGGAGUCGCUAGUAAUCGCAGAUCAGCAAUGCUGCGGUGAAUACGUUCCCGGGCCUUGUACACACCGCCCGUC